UACGUAGGGGGCAAGCGUUUGCCGGAAUCUUGGGCGUAAAGAGCGUGUAGGCGGCCCGAUAAGUCCGCCGUGAAAGUCAAAGGCUCAACCUUUGAAAGCCGGUGGAUACUGUGAGGCUAGAGUACGGGAAGAGGCGAGUGGGAAUUCCUGGUGUAGCGGUGGAAUGCGCAGAUAUCAGGAGGAACGACCAAUAGCGAAGGCAGC
rnacentral:rRNA from 1 species